CGGGGACCGCGGGCCCUGCCCGGGCUUUGUCCGGGCCCGCUCGCACCGCUCCCGUAUUUUUAGCAGCAUCUGAUCCCCGCUAAGUAACUCCCCCAGCGCAGGGGAUCCUGUUUCCCUCCGUCCUGUGGGGCACCGGCGGGGAAGUGUUUCUCAUUGUUCGUGUUGCUGGUUGGUGCCUUCUGGCAGCAGUGCCCAAGGUGAAGAUCAGCUGCAGUGAGGAGGGAAAGUGGUGGAGGAGCUGAAGUUGAGAAUUUGCUGCAUGGAUAAGAAAUGACAACAGUUAGAAAAAACCUGCACCUGUAUUUCCUGUCUCAAUGAAUAUUGGUUUCAGCAUAGACACUGGCUGUCUUUCAUUUUGCUGGUGGAGCAGAGGGAGAAGAGAGAAAGGAAGACAGACCAGAAAGUAAAGGAUACCAGAUGAUAUCAUAGAGUUAGCCCCUCCAUAGGAAUCUGCCAGCCACUCUGUUUCUCAUCAGUGAAGAAGAAAGUCAGAAUGCCGGUGGCAUAAAAGCUGCUGGGCCAGGAUCCACACACGGUGACACGGACAAAGAGCAGAUGCGUGCAGCAACUGGAGGAGGAGAUAAAAGAACCAUCCUUCAACCGCAGUUGCGUCAGCCAAAUCACAACCAGCUGGGUUAUUGCACUGGGCAUUUCUGCUGAUCCACCACAACGCUCACGCAUGCUCUGUGCGUGUUUGCACGCACACGUACCCUCUGUCAAAGGCUGGGCUGAUUUUUGAGCCUUCUUGUCCUCCCUCUGUUUUUAGCCAUUGGUUUAGUUGAGGGAAGAUGUAGACCUGAGGUGUCUGGGGAAGGACUGAAACUGUUGGAAGGAUGAGAGAAACUGUGACUCAGGAAAUUUGGUUCCUACCUUAGUCCCAGCAUGCAGCGAUGAAUGUGCAUACUGUUAUCCUUGCAAUACUGAAACCUGUUUCCCUCCAUUGUGUUUUGGACACUGGAGUGGCCUCUCACCUGCUUUUUGCUCAGAGGGAGCAAUUUGUAUUUCUAGAGGCAAGGUUCAGGAGCAUGCAUGUAGUGCCCUGCCCUCCAAGGCCAAAAGCUCAUGCAGGUUCAACUUCGUCCUCAGUCAAAGACAAGUCUCAGCUGGCUGACAGGGCUGAGUUUCCCAGAGCUUGGGACUGUAGCUAGCCCACAUGCCAGUAGAGUUUGGACUGCUGAGAGAGGUCCUAGAAGCAUCAAGGAAAUGCCUGCUUUAUGACUAAUAAAAUUUAAUGAAGCUGCUUGACUAUCCAGUUGUAAGCAAAAAAUGAGUCAGUCUGUGUUGGUUUGGACCAAAGCAAGGAAUUGACCAUCUUGCAGCCAUGAUUAAAACCAUUACGUCUACCACAUGCCACCAGUUUCUAAUCUGUCAUGGCAAAACUGCUUUAAAAUAAAAAAUCAGAAUAGAAUAUAUCCCACAAAUAUGUUUUAACAUAACUACUCUCCAUGUAUAAAUAGCUCUGUGCAGACUGUAAGGUAUCCCUGUAGUUCUCACUGCUUUCACUCUGUGUGGCUCUCCAGAUGAUUUGGGUACAAGCUCUAGCCAGAAGAAAAUGGAGCAAUAUU